rnacentral:lncRNA from 1 species
GCUAAAUUUUUUUUAAAAAGUCUCUUACUUAUUUUAAUACUUCAGAUAAAUAUAUUUGAAAUUUGAUGUAAUUUUAAAAAUAUCAUUGCAUAAUAUGGCAAAUUUGACUGUUUUUAGUAUAGUCAAGAGAAUAUAAUGACAUACCAUCACAUAGUCAAUUAAACAAAUUCCAGAGAACAGCUAUUAUCUAGUUGGACUACUAACCUACAUGCUUACUGCCUUGUUUAGAAGGUUGGAAACAAAGAUUAUACAGGAACAAAAAGAAUUCCUUCUCAAUUUCACAUGCAAAGAUUUGGAAAAACAUGAAGCUCUCUCUUUUGGGAGUGAUGAGACCUCAGAAGGCAGGAAAUAUAAUGUAUGAAAAUAAAAAUACUGGAUCCAUAAGACAUCUGUGCUCAGAGGGGGCAAUGCUUUUGAAUAGUCAUGAAAAAUCAAGUUUCCACCAAGAAUAUUUGUAUAAUCAAAGCAAGUUAAACAAUGAAUCGUGUUGAACUGGCAUUUCUCAUCCAAAAGCAGAGUGAUGGAGCUAAGGUACCUGAAUAUUUGUGUAUAUAUGGGAAACUUCCAAGUGUGUAUCCUUGCAUGCAGUCACUAAAAAGAUGUUGAAUAUUUAUUAAAUACCUAAUCCAACUAAUAAAAUGAAUGUGAUCAAUGAAGAACA